ACAGAAUUAGUCUAACGAUCCGGAGUUGUCUCGUAACCACCGCAACGCAUUGCCAAGUUCACCUAUAAGAUUGCCACCCACCUGUCUUUACCAUCGUAAGAUGGUUACGGUAGCUACGCCAAAACAUACAGAAGUUACUCAAAAUAUUAAUAGCUUCAGAGGCAUAUAUGAGCACGCUACAAUGAUAACAUGCAUGAUAACGAAGUGCUAAGCAGUGCAUCCACAACCACAGAAAUCCGGUUUUUAAAUUAAACUCAUCAUGUUUAAAGCUAUUCUUCUCAGCUAAAACACGGGAAGACGAGCAGGUUGUGAAUAAGCAGUACAUUCAAUUAAGACACGUUUUGGAGCAUCAAAGAGUGGAAAAACGAUCAAACCGGGCACAGGCCGUGUGGUUGGUUAAUGAGAAUCUUGCACAAGUCACUAAAGUCACAAAAAACCUAUUAAAAAGUUUUGGAACUCAAAACAAGAACGGAAUAUUUUUGAACCCGGUAGAAAUGACAUUUCUUAUUGAAGCGAACAGACUUGAAUUAAUUUCAAUUAAUAAUCAAGUGAGCAUUGAAAACGCCUAUCGAAUUUUGCUGGAAACCACAAAUUUGAAAAGAUAUAGAGUCUAUAAAACAUUAGUAAUUUUAGGGUAUAAAUUAUCGCGAGUUAAACGAAUUGAGUGCAUACUUUCAAGCGCAGCACAGCAAAGCGAUAGUAAAAAAAGAUCACAAAAUGGAACCAGAUAUCACAAAAAGAGAAAAAUGGAACCAUCUUUUAAUGAUACAAAUUGUUCGGACAUAGAUAUUAGCUCAGGAAUUCCAUGUACAUCGUCUGAGGGUGAGCUUUCAGAAGCACAAUAUGUCGAAAAUAUUUUGAAGAGGGCUAGACAAAUUAUGCCCAGAGAUAGUAUUUCCAAAAGUAGUGUACUGAAACCAGAUUACUAUGUAUAUUCUCCUUUUAAGACAAUGGAACAGCAAUCCGAGAUAAGCUUAUUUAUUUGCGAGGAAGAUAGACUUGACUUUGGUUGUUCCAGUAAGAAUACGUCCAAUGUUUAUGCUAUGUGCACUGAAGACGUCGCAUUUUAUAGCUUUAAUGAUGUUUAUUUACCAUUUAUUUAAGCAACAUCGAUUUUUUAAAUACAAUUUCAAUUCAA